rnacentral:rRNA from 1 species
UACGGGGGGGGGCAAGCGUUGUUCGGAAUUACUGGGCGUAAAGGGCUCGUAGGUGGCCAACUAAGUCAUACGUGAAAUCCCUCGGCUUAACCGGGGACUGCGUCUGAUACUGGAUGGCUUGAGGUUGGGAGAGGGAUGCGGAAUUCCAGGUGUAGCGGUGAAAUGCGUAGAUAUCUGGAGGAACACCGGUGGCGAAGGCGGCGAUCCUGGACCAAUUCUGACACUGAGGAGCGAAAGCCAGGGGAGCAAACGGGAUUAGAACCGUA